CUCCUGCUGGCCUUCUUCUGGAGCUUCUUGUAGUUUAUCGCUGCAUGCCAUCCAUAUCACAGGAUUUGUUCUUUCUUCCUUACCUGCACAUCUCCUUCCCCAGGGGGAGCCAAUAAAUACCCUGCAUUUUAUUCAGAAAACAAAGCAUAUAGAUUAGACAGCAUGAUUUCUUAUGAAUGAGAAUCAUGAAUGUAAACAUGGAGUUUCCUUUUCUGCGUGUCUCAGCUCUGUUCAAUAUAUUUUCUGUGUCCCUUUGUUUAAUAGUUUUAGUAUGUACAAGACAAUAUUAAUGCUGAAAAAGAUGUAGGUUAGGUCAGUCUCAGUGGAAGUUUCAUUUGUAUUUAAUUAUGAAUAGAGAUAGAGAGAGUUUCAUCAGAAAUUGAUGUGACAAUCUUGAUCACUGUACUAUGAAACUCUCUACUGAGACUGGCCUUAGUCUCAAUGUAGAGUUUCAUAUAACACAGUUACAAGGCUGCCACGUCAGUUUUUAUAUUGGUAACUGUGAUAACGGGUUUCAGCUAGAUGAAACUAUAAAAUUCUCUCUACCUUUCUCUUCAUAAUUAAUCUGCCAACUCAUCAAAUUUGUUCAUGUGUCACAAUGUUAAAUGAAAAUGAAACUUCUUUGAAGCCCCAUUGAUACUGGCCUUAGAUGAAUAUCACUUUGUGGUUGACAGAUUGUUCCCUUCUACAGGCCAUUAUUACCCUCAAGGAAGGUGCACAUCUCCUGAAAUGUGGGAAGAGAGGGAAACCCAAAUUCUGCACUGUCAGGCUAUCUUAUGUGAGUAGUUUGGCUAUAUGUUUACACUUUUUCUUCCAUUUAAUUCAUAAUUUUAUUUAUAAACGGAACAUUGUGCUAUGCAACCUUGCAUUCACGUGUCCAUUUUCCCCCUUAAUGUUUUACUGGCAAACUAGGGAUCUAUAGGAUAAUAGUGACACCUCCCCAAUUCUGAAGUCAACUACCUUUCUGCCAAAGGAGAUAGGAUUGAUCACUGCAACACUGAUCUUUUAGAACUUUUAACACAAGGUUGUAUCUAAUGUCGCUUACCGUUGGUAACUGUAUUGUUUUGCUAGUUGUUUCUUUAAUUCUCUUAACACUCAGCUCUGUUGGGUCAUGAGUUGUUUUAUGAAAAGAUCAAGAUAUCCAAGAGGAAGGUAAAUUGAACUAAUCUAAAUUCGUCGCCUAAUCGCGACUAGUCGCCUGGUCAGUCCCAGUGUUCGACCAGGCGACUAGGCGACUUGAAAUCAUUGGGGGGAGUACCAUUAAUAAAGGUGAUAUCCAGUGCUGUAUGCUUCCCACACUGUGUGGGGUCUGAGUAAGGGUAUCUUUUGUUAGGAUUUAUGGGCUAGGCUCAAUUGAGAAAUUCAAAUAAAUCCCAGGAAAAUCACAAAAGCCCAUAUAAGUGGAUGGCUAGGGAAUAGGUGAAACCAAUAGCACCAUAUUGCUAGUUCUAGUGGAGUAGAGCUAGCUUAAAUAUGGAAGCCACACUCACUCACCAAGUCAUGGAUGAGAGGAGAGAGUGUGGAGAGCCACGCGCGCGCGCGCUCGCUCGCCUCGCCUCGCCUCGCCUCCCCUGGCCUGGCCUGGCCGGGGCAAAGGGCGCGGGCGCACGACAUGCGCGUGAAUGGUCCACCGAAAUCCGGCCCCUCGCCUUGCGGGGGCGCGGCUUCCUUUUGCCGUCUGAUUUUUUGGUUACUUGACUGUUACAUUUAUCCUAACCGAUCGCUAUAAAAUCUCAACUGAUCGCGAGAUUUUUGUGGGCGAAUAAGAUCGGAGGUUUCGCUUUCGCCUCUCUUCAUAGCUGAGCUGCCUUUUAGUUCCCUUCGUCCCGACCGCAGACGUGCAUCUGCGAUCAGGAGAGCAGGUCUCCGGAACCCUUCGUCUUCUAGAUCCUGCACCGGGAGAGGGCGAAUAAGGUUUUUGGUAAGCGUCUUCACGCGACUGCUCGUGAUCUUCUGCCUCGUCGACCCUGCUCAUUUCGCUGCUUCGACAUCGUCGACCCUGCUGAUUCCGGCGCGCGCCAUCUAUCAGUAUGUCUAAUCAGUACGCAUCAUCUGAUUUGACUUUUUACUUCAGUUCUUCUGAUUUGGUCAUGAUUUAUAUUCGGAAUUUAAUCUGGAAUUUGUCUAAUUAUUCAACAAUCCAAAAAACUUAUUGUAGACAAUUUCCUAGUUUUUGUAUGGUUGCUUUUGCCGACGCGCUGAAGCCAGAAAAGUUUAAUGGUAUGCACUUUAAGAGAUGGCAAGUCAAGGCCACGCUCUGGCUUACUGCUAUGAAUGUCUUCCAUGUUAGUAAAGGCAGACCUGAGGGUCCACUGACUCAUGAACAGGAGAAAGAGUACGACCAUGCCAAUACUAUAUUUACGGGAGCCGUUCUUAGCGCCCUUGUUGAUCGUCUGGUUGAUGCGAAUAUUCAGUACACAGACGGAAAAGAGUUGUGGAAUGCACUUACUACUAAGUAUGGUGCAUCAGAUGCUGGUAGUGACCUGUAUAUCAUGGAGAGCUUUCAUGAUUAUAAGAUGGUUGAUAAUCGCUCUAUUGUAGAGCAAGCUCAUGAAAUACAGUGUAUAGCCAAGGAGCUCGACCACCUUAAGAUAGUCCUUCCUAACCGAUUUGUGGUUGGGUGCAUUAUUGCAAAGUUGCCUUCUACAUGGAGGAACUUCGCCACAUCUCUGAAACAUAAGAGACAGGAGAUAUCAGUUGAAAAUUUGAUAGCGUCUCUGGAUGUUGAGGAGAAAGCUCGGGCUAAGGACACGGGAUCUAAAGGAGGCGAGGGCCACUCCAGCGCCAACAUGGUUCAAAGGAACCACAACAAGGGGAAAGGAAAGCCAAAAUCUAACAAGCCCAACAAAACUACCAACUUCAAGAAGAAGAAGAACAAGGCUGAAUUGACAUGUUUCGCAUGUGGCGAGGCGGGUUAUUUUGCCAAAGAUUGUCCCGAUCGAGUGGAUCGCCGUGGCAAAAAGGGCAAUGUCAACACAGUGGUCGCUAGCAAUGAGGAAGACAAAGGGUAUGGUAAUUUACCUUUCAUCUUCUCAGUAUUUCAAUCACCUAGCUGGUGGCUUGAUACUGGUGCUAAUGUUCAUGUGUUUUCUGACAUUAACUUGUUCUCUUCUUAUCAGGGCGCCCGAGAUUCUUCCGUCCUAAUGGGGAAUGGGCCACAUGCUUCUGUUCAUGGCACUGACACGGUGGAUCUGAAGUUUACUUCGGGAAAGAUCGUGCAGCUGAAGAACGUGCAUCAUGUCCCUUCUAUACACAAGAAUCUCGUUAGCGGAACCCUUCUAUGUAGAGAUAGGUUCAAGGUAGUUUUGGAGUCCAAUAAAUUAGUUGUGUCCAAGUCUGGACAAUUUAUUGGUAAAGGCUAUGAUUGCGGAGGCUUGUUCCGCUUUUCUCUGUUAGAUUUCAAUAAUCAGUCUAUGAACCAUAUUUGUGCUAAUGUUGCUGAUCUUGCGAGUAUUUGGCAUUCUCGUUUGUGUCAUAUUAAUUUUGGCUCUAUGUCUCGGCUUGCAACCAUGAGUUUAAUUCCGAAUAUCACCAUAGUCAAAGGUUCUAAGUGUCACAGUUGUGUGCAGUCGAAGCAACCUCGAAAGCCUCACAAGGCUGCUGAGGAGAGACACCUGGCACCUAUAGAACUCAUACAUUCUGAUCUUUGUGAGAUGAAUGGUGUGUUGACAAAGGGUGGUAAGAGAUACUUCAUGACAUUGAUUGAUGAUGCAUCUAGAUUUUGCUAUGUAUACUUGCUAAAAACUAAAGAUGAGGCUUUAGACUACUUUAAAAUCUAUAAGGCUGAAGUUGAAAACCAACUAGAGAGAAAGAUCAAACGUCUUAGAUCAGAUCGUGGUGGCGAGUUUUUUCCCAAACUCUUUGAUGAUUUCUGUGCAGAACAUGGCAUUAUUAAUGAGAGGACUCCUCCCUAUUCACCCGAGUCAAACGGGAUUGCUGAAAGGAAAAACCGUACGUUGACUGACCUGGUGAAUGCCAUGUUAGACACUUGUGGUUUAUCUAAGGCAUGGUGGGGGGAGGCAGUCCUGACUUCAUGUCAUGUUCUGAAUAGAAUUCCUAUGGGCAAAGAAGAGAAAAUCCCUUAUGAGAAGUGGGUUGGGAGAAAACCAUCACUUUCAUACUUGCGCACUUGGGGGUGCAUGGCGAAAGUCAAUGUACCAAUUAAUAAAAAGCGCAAGCUUGGUCCAAGGACAGUGGAUUGUGUCUUUCUUGGAUAUGCUUCGUGUAGCAUAGCAUAUAGAUUUUUAGUAGUUAAAUCUGAAGUUUCUGAUGUGUAUGUUGAUACUAUUAUGGAAUCAUGUGAUGCUACUUUCUUUGAACAUAUAUUUCCAAUGAAAGACAUUCAUAACAAUUCUAAAUACUCUUCUGAGAUAACUCCUGAACAUAGUACACCUAUUGAGAGUUUUGAACAGCCACAUGAAAUUGUCCUAGAGGAGGAUGACAAUGAUGCUCCUAAAAGGAGCAAGAGACAAAGGGUUGAAAAUUCCUUUGGUGAUGAUUUCAUUGUGUACCUUGUGGACGAUACUCCUACUACCAUUGCAGAAGCAUUUGCAUCUCCAGAUGCAGAUGAUUGGAAAGAAGCAGUUCAUAAUGAGAUGGACUCUAUUCUUUCAAAUGGUACGUGGGAAGUCACUGAUCGACCCUAUGAAUGCAAACCUGUGGGUUGUAAGUGGGUGUUUAAAAAGAAGCUCAAGCCUGAUGGUACAAUUGAUCAGUACAAGGCUAGGCUUGUGGCUAAAGGCUAUACUCAGAAAAAAGGAGAAGACUUCUUUGAUACUUACUCACCUGUUGCUAGAAUGACCACUAUUCGAGUACUACUUUCUUUGGCUGCCUCGUAUGGUCUCCUUGUUCAUCAGAUGGAUGUAAAGACAUCUUUUCUUAAUGGAGAGCUGGACGAGGACAUCUAUAUGGAACAACCUGAUAGAUUUGUAGUAAAUGGUCAAGAAAGCAAGGUGUGCAAGUUAUUGAAAUCUUUGUAUGGUCUGAAGCAAGCACCAAAGCAGUGACAUGAGAAGUUUGACACGACUCUAACGUCUGCAGGCUUUGCCAUUAAUGAGGCAGACAGGUGUGUAUAUUAUCGCUGUGGUGGGGGCGAAGGAGUUAUAUUGUGCUUAUAUGUUGAUGAUAUAUUGAUAUUUGGCACAAACAUUGAUGUGAUCAAUGAAGUCAAGUCUUUUCUAUCAAAGAGUUUUGAUAUGAAAGAUCUGGGAGAAGUUGAUGUGAUUCUAAACAUCAAGCUGAUUAAGGCAGAUGGUGGGAUUACUCUCUCGCAAUCUCACUAUGUUGAAAAGGUUUUGAAGCGAUUUGGCUUCUUUGAGUGCAAACCUUCUCCAACACCUUAUGAUCCCAGUGUGACACUGCGAAAGAACAAGAGAAUUGGUUUAGACCAAUUGAGAUACUCUCAGAUUGUCGGUUCACUCAUGUAUCUUGCUGGUGCAACAAGGCCCGAUAUCUCGUUUGCUGUGAGCAAAUUGAGUAGGUUCAUGUCAAACCCCGGGACUGAUCAUUGGCAUGCACUUGAGCGGGUUAUGCGCUACCUGCAAGGUACAAUGAGUUAUGGAAUUCACUAUUCUGGUCAGCAUGCAGUACUUGAAGGAUAUAGUGAUUCGAACUGGAUAUCUGAUGUAGACGAGCUUUAUGCCACCAGUGGUUAUGCCUUUACUAUUGGUGGAGGUGCGGUAUCAUGGAGGUCAUGCAAGCAGACCAUCUUGACGAGGUCAACCAUGGAAGCUGAGCUAGCUGCACUUGACACAGCAACCGUUGAGACAGAAUGGUUGCGUGAACUCUUGAUGGACUUGCCGGUGGUUGAGAAAUCAAUACCAGCUAUCCUUAUGAACAGUGACAAUCAGACAGUGAUUGCUAAAGUGACGAGUUCUAAGGAUAAUGGAAAGUCAUCAAGACAUGUCAAAAGACGAUUGAAGUCUGUCAGAAAGUUGAGAAACUCCGGAGUUAUAAGUGUGACUUAUAUUUCAACAGAUAAAAAUCUGGCAGAUCCGUUUACCAAGGGACUACCACGUAAUGUGAUAGAAAUCGCAUCUAGAGAGAUGGGUAUGAGACCCGAAUAAAGUUGCCAUGGUGGAAACCCAGUCUAUGUGAUCGGAGAUCCCGUGAAUUAGGUCCUGGGAAGAACAAGCCAUUGGUGAACUGAGGAGAGUAACCUUUGACCCUCUCUAAGUAAAGAUGCAAUACUCUCAAAUGCUGUAAGGCAGGUUGGCUUUGUGCCUUAAUGUGUUCUGUUGGCUUGUAUUAGCGAAGAUGUUGUCCUGCAGAACAUUCUUUGAAAGAACAUACCUAUAUGAGUUAGACUGUCUAACGUCGCAGUCUAUGAGAUUUGGGUGAUCUCUAGUAAACUCAUGAAGAGACCUUGGAGUACGACGUAUAUGCUCCACCCGAGAAGGGGACUACUGGUAGCCAAGUACUGGUCAUGACUUCAAGUGAAACUCAUUCACGCAAAACUUGCAAUUAAAGGCAUAGUUCAUUGUCCAAGUUGUGGGUUGGUGUAGCUUGGAGUUCUAGGCGGAAGUUCAACUUAACAGUCUCUGCUGAAAAACUAGUAUAUUAAACAGUAGUGAACAGUGGCGAAAACUGCAGAUGGGCAUUUGAGAUCUGGUGGGGGAUUGUUAGGAUUUAUGGGCUAGGCCCAAUUGAGAAAUUCAAAUAAAUCCCAGAAAAAUCACAAAAGCCCAUAUAAGUGGAUGGCUAGGGAAUAGGUGCAACCAAUAACACCAUAUUUCUAGUUCUAGUGGAGUAGAGCUAGCUUAAAUAUGAAAGCCACACUCACUCACCAAGUCAUGGAUGAGAGGAGAGAGUGUGGAGAGCCACACGCGCGCGCGCUCGCUCGCCUCGCCUCCCCUGGCCUGGCCGGGGCAAAGGGCGCGGGCGCACGACAUGCGCGUGAAUGGUCCGCCGAAAUCCAGCCCCUCGCCUUACGGGGGCGCGGCUUCCUUUUGCCGUCUGAUUUUUUGGUUACUUGGCUGUUACGUUUAUCCUAACCGAUCGCUAUAAAAUCUCAACUGAUCGCGAGAUUUUUGUGGGCGGAUAAGAUCGGGGGUCGCGGACUCGGCCCUAUAAAAGGAGCCCGGCAGCCAGCCUCCAAAUCAUCCCAGUUUCGCUUUCGCCUCUCUUCAUAGCUGAGCUGUCUUUUAGUUCCCUUAGUCCCGACCACAGACGUGCAUCUGCGAUCAGGAGAGCAGGUCUCCGGAACCCUUCGUCUUCUAGAUCCUGCACCGGGAGAGGGCGAAUAAGGUUUUUGGGAAGCGUCUUCACGCGACUGCUCGUGAUCUUCUGCCUCGUCGACCCUGCUCAUUUCGCUGCUUCGACAUCGUCGACCCUGCUCAUUCCGGCGCGCGCCAUCUAUCAGUUUGUCUAAUCAGUACGCAUCAUCUGAUUUGGCUUUUUACUUCAGUUCUUCUGAUUUGGUCAUGAUUUAUAUUCGGAAUUUAAUCUGGAAUUUGUCUAAUUAUUCAACAUCUUUAAGCAUCAAGUCUUACCCGCAUAAUAUGCAUAGGCUGGGGCUCGAACUCGGGACCUUCCAGUUACAAACGGUAGGCUCUAUCGCUGCACCAGGCCCGCCCUUCGGAGGGAGUACCAUUAAUAGAGGCACAAAAUCUAUAUACGUUCAAUCAAUCAUCAUUAUCAUGACCUAACUUAUAUUGUUUCUAUAAACACACGUUAAUCAUAAUAAUCUAGUAACAUCAUUAAUCAUCGAAACCCAUCUAGAGGUCUAGAUUCUUUAAAAUGUAAUUACCUGAACUUGGACUUUGUUAGUGACAUGUGAGACGAGUCUUGCAAGUCUAUGUGAAGUUUAAAACAAGUCUAUAUUUAGGAUUAAUGACACUCUAAAAUAAAAUUUUCUAUUUCCAAUUUCUCGGUCCUCUCCUUUGUUAUCAAUGACCAAAAACUCUUCAGUGUAUUUUUCUUGACUUUCCAGUGAUCAUUUGUAGCUACUCUUGUUUUCUUGCCAUUGACAAAAGACAAAGGAUAUGCUAUAGUUCUGUUAGUAAGUUUGAAAUGGACAUGCAAAACUAUUCUUACACUAAUGCAUUUUUUGUACCAAGGUAAACUGGCAAAUCAACCAUUUCUCCAACAACUAUUCAGGUAUAUAUCAACCAAAUAAGCACAUUACCUUGUAAGGAUUAGUUGCGCGUGGAUGCAGAGGCCGGAUAUUUUCCAUUUUCAAAAAAAAACACAUUAUGGCUCUAUCAGUAUACAAAUAAUAUAUCUUCUAGAGAAAACAGGUUGGAGCUCUGCCUUCUCAUUUAAGCUAGGAAAAGAUUAAUUACAGAUAUCCAUGGCGAGGAGUCUAGGCAACUCUACUGACUAGACAAGGAUAAUAAAACAACAAGUAGAAACUGGACCUACAUAAUAAAGCGAGAAAACUGAACCUAGGCUCUGAUUGUUUCCACUUAAUCGACAUACCAUGGAGAUCUUUUUAUUCUAGAUUCUCAAUUUUGCUAGUUCAAAGUUCUAAAGCAGAAGUCAGCAGAAUCAGAAAUGGCAAGGCGUGUUUUUUUUUUUGCUUAAAAUCUGUAUAUGCAAAAACAAACAGACUCUAGUGUGACACUAGUAACAAGACAAAAAUAUAUUCUUAGAUUAUUGUUUCUCCUUAUUCCGCUCAACUACAUGCUACAUCCGAAGCAAGCUCAGUUUUGGUUUUUGAGUAAACUGAAACUGAACAUCUUCAACUUUUAUAAACUUGCAUACCAUAUUUGGCUCUCUUAUGUAUUUGACAUUAUUGCAUUUGCAGGAUGAGAGAGCACUAAUAUGGUACUCCAAAAAUAGGGGGAAACAUUUAAGCUUGAAUUCAGUGUUCAGUGUAGUUCUUGGACAGAAGACUGUAUGCAACUUUCCCUUUCCAAAUAUAUGCUAUUAGCUCUUAGUAGUAACACAUUAGGGUCCUAAGACACUGAUUUACUGAGAAUUCAAUAUUUUGCAGACAAAACUUUUGCGUCUGCAUUGGCCAGAAAAGGAAUCUCACUCCUUGUCAAUUAUAUACAAGAAUGGUGAAUCCUCGCUUGACUUGGUAUUGACUAUGGAGUAGCCCAGUGUUGUUUAAAUUUUGUAAUUUCUUUACUUAUUUAACUUACAUAACCUUUUAUUUGGGGAUGAUUUAAUCCAGGUCUGCAAAGAUAGAGAUCAAGCUGAAUGUUGGUAUUUAGGCCUUACAGCCCUAAUAUCAGCACCAUCGACCCCUUUACUUCUGGUUAAUUCAACAAACAGCCGUCGGAUAAACAGCUGCACGAAUAGCCCUCCUAGCUAUAUUCAGCAAAGGAGUAGGCUUUUCACUGUGCGUGAUGGAAGAAACUUCCCAAAGGUUCAUUCUGGAAUUCAUGCAUGCCAUGAUUUUUAUGCAGGAACAUGAUAGCAUUGUCUAAGUGCGAGCUUGACAUUGCUUGUGAAAUUUCUUGUCUCACACUAAGUAGCAUGUUCUGAAUUCCAUGCUUGAAAAAAAAAGGACAUUGAUGAUGACUGGCAUAUUAGAUCAUGAUGAGGUUAUGUUGAUGAUAGCUACCUUGUUAGUUUAUACUCCCUCCGUCCCAAAUUAUAAUCCAUUUGACUUUUUUGUGUCAUGUUUGACCGGCUCGUCCUAUUCAAAUUUUCUGUGAAAAAAUGAAAAAUUCAAAGCCAUAUUUAAAGUAUAUUAUAUGCUAAACAAUAUCACAGCAAAAAUUAACAAUAAUUAUGAAAUUUUUUUAAUAAGACGAGCCGGACAAACUUAGGGUAAAAAAGUCAAACGAAUUAUAAAUUAGAAUGGAGGGAGUACUUUAUAGUGAAAAUAUCAUAUUACUAUUUUCCAACCGAAAAAUAUGAUAACAAUAUAUUUAGUAAUGGAAUUUAAACUAACACUGCAUAUACUUUGAGGCGCAACUUUUUUAGUUAAGUGCUAUACCAUCACUGGUGACUGUAAAUAGUCGCGCGGGCGCGCGCAACUGUCAUAUGUUUCAAUUGCAUCAUGCUUUUACUUGUACUGUUCAAAUGAUAAUUUCUCCAAUCAUUUGUUCAUGAAGGUACAUUCGCUAUAUGGCAGUCCUAGGUUGAUACAGAACAAGUACUUCCAUAAUAAUUUGGAUUGCUCUGAACCAUUCUUUUCUCCAAGACAGAGAGCAUGGUCAGAACUAGAUUCCUACAUGGAAAAGAUUAGUCCCGAAUUGAUAAAUCGAGUACAAAAUAAUUUGAGAGACAUAAAAUCUGCGGAAACAAUUAACGACCAAAGAAUUAUGCAAAUGCCUAAACUGAAACAAUCUAAGGGGUCAAAUGCAGCAACAGAUUCUCUGAAGGACAUUUUUGUAUAGGGUGAUGUUCUGGGUCGUAUGUCAGAUAAUGGACAUGUAUCAGGAACCAAUAUAUCACUUCCAAGGUUAUUGAAAUCGUCACAGAUUCUUGAUGUGCAGAGCAUUGCCUGUGGAGAGAAACACGCGGCAAUAGUUACUAAGCAGGGUAAGGUAUUCUCUUGGGGUGAGGAAAAUGGAGGGAGAUUGGGACACAAAACAAGUGACAGUGUCUCUGACCCUAAAAUCAUUGACUCUCUUGCCUCCACACCUAUGAAGACUAUUGCAUUGGGGGCAAAGUACACCUGUGCAGUUUCAGUUUCAGGAGAACUUUAUGAAUGGGGUGAAGGGAUUCACAGCCUAGGGUUCAAGAACAAUCAGUGUCAAAGAAGCCCAUGGUUCCCACAUAAAUUGAUCAGAACUUCAGAUGGUAUAUCUGUGGCGAAGAUUGCAUGUGGUCAGUGGCACACAGCUAUAGUAUCCUCCACAGGUAAGCUGUUCACAUAUGGACAUGGGACAUUUGGUGUUCUUGGACAUGGUGACACACGUAGUGUUGUUCAGCCGAAAGAAGUGGAGUCCUUGAGGGGGUUAAGAGUUAAGUCCGUCGCAUGUGGACCAUGGCACACUGCUGCUAUUGUGGAAACAUCAGGAACACCCAAGAGCAAUGCUCCUGGUGGGAAGCUAUUCACAUGGGGUAACGCAAGUGGAGAGAAGCUGGGCCAUACUGACAAAAAGUCGAAGCUUGUACCAACUCGUGUUGAAUCACUCAUUGAUUGUGAUUUUACUCAGGUAUCAUGCGGUAUGUCAUUAACAGCUGUGCUAACCAUAACAGGUGUCGUAUUUACCAUUGGAAGCAAGGACCAUGGUCAAUUAGGGAAUCCUCGAUCUGAUAGCGCAUGUAUUUGUAUGGUUGAAGGGCCACUUAAGACUGAGUUUGUCAAAGAUAUAUCCAGCGGAAAUUCCCAUGUUGCAGUCUUGACAAUGAAUGGGAAAGUGUUUACCUGGGGCAAAGGCACAGAAGGGCAACUUGGUUUGGGGGAUUACCUUGACAGGACCUUCCCAACUCUAGUGGAGGCCCUGGAAGAUAAACAGGUGGACAGUAUAGUUUGUUCUUCCAACUUCACGGCUGUAAUUUGUGUGCAUGGGGAAAUCUCAAGCAAGGAUACUGUAUGCAGCAGUUGCAGGUUGGCAUUCCGGUUUACAAGGAAGAAGCACAACUGCUACAACUGUGGUUCCAUGUUCUGCAAUUCUUGCAGCAGCAACAAGGUUCAAAGGGCCACCCUUGCACCAGAUAAGAGCAAAAGAUGUCGUGUGUGUGAUGCUUGUUUCAAUGAACUGAAUAAAACAGCUGAGCAUGGCAAAAUGAGUUGUGAAUCAAAGAUCCAAAAAGAACCGCCUUUAACAGAAACAAGAACAUAUACACCAAAGUUAUCACGAAUGCUUAAGGAAGCAAAUUUCAUCAUGGAAAAAAUGGGUUCCAUACGAAGUCCCAACCAGAGAAAUCAGGAAUCAGCCACUCUGAAUCAAAUGCAAAAACAAAGGUGGGGACAGGUAGAAUGCCCCGAUCAAUUCAAAUGUGCAAGAGACAACAUUUCACAUUGUUUGACAUCAAAGAAGCAGCCAGUUGAUAUUGGUCGUAUAGGGAGAAUGAAUGAUCCAGUCUCACAAAAGACUGCUGCCCCUUUAACACGAACUACUGAUAAGAGGAGGAAAGAACAAGAUUUGAUAGAAAAGAUAAUGUUGGAGGAGGUCAAACAGCUUCAAGCACAGGUAAUUUCUAUAACUUAUUAUUUUCUAGGGACCCAUAUAAUAAUUCUUAUACGGAACUAUCUUGUUUUUUUUUAAAAAAAAUGUGUUUCAAAUCAUUGAUUUGGUGAGACACAUGGUGAUCUUGCUCUUAUCUAAGCAGGUAACCACUCUAGCAGAAGAAUGCCGGCAUAGGAGCCUGAAAGUUCAGUUGUAUAAACGAAAACUUGAGGAAACCUGGUUGAUAGCAAGGGACGAGGCCACAAAGUGCAAUGCUGCAAAAGAGAUUAUAAAGAUUUUAACAAAUCAGGUAUAAGUCUGUCUUAUAAAAAAUUCCAACAUUUUAGAACUUUUCUGACACAGUGGUGAGAAAUCUUUCCUCUGAGCCAAAGGUCCUAUGUUCGAUGCAGCAUCUCUGCAAAAAUGCAGAGGUAAAGCUUGACUUGUUAUUCGUUUCCUAAACCCCACUCAUGUGGAAUUCCCCAGCACUGGGUUUGUCCUUUAGAACUUUUCUGUCUGAUGUCAUAUAAGUAAUCUUCUGCGAACCUGUGCAGAGAAAUGCUUUAUCAAAUAAACUUUUAGAUGAUUUGGAACUAGAUGAUUCCAGGAUCGUCCCUGACCCACCCGACAAAACUCCUGUCACCGGCAAAAUUCCACCGCUAAACAGCAUCAGGGAUCAACACAACAUAGAGGAAGUGGAUAUGCAAUCUACAACGUCUUCUAACACUGUUGUGGCGGAUGACUCGGCUGUGCAUCAGAAUGGCAGAAGAGCCUCCAAUAGCAGCAGAGGUUAUGACGGGGGAACAGAUAGCACAGUUGCUCCUACUGACUCCAGUGGAAUGAUCGAGCAAAUUGAGCGUGGGGUGUACAUUUCAGUCGUUACAUCCCCCGAUGGUAAGAAGGGAAUCAAGAGCAUCCGGUUCAGGUGAACUCCUCAAAGCCUCUCUCCAAUGUUUUUACGGCAUUCAUCACAGUUGGCUUAAAACUGAAUAAUAUUUAUUUAUGAUAACUUGCUCAUGGUGAUCUCGCAGCCGGAAGCAUUUUGGGGAGACCGAGGCACAGAAAUGGUGGGAAGAGAAUGAGAGCAGAGUAUUUGCAAAGUACAACAGCAUGGAAUACUUGGCAGCACAAUGUCGAUAAGGAAAAUGUACAGGAGAAGCCAGUUCUUUGUCACAGUGUCUGUAGAACAUGUACACUGCAACACCAUAUUGUUCGGUAAAGUCGUAGGAUAGAUGAGAUAGAAGGAAUGAUAGUAUCCUAUCUAUUAAGCAGAUAAACCGCAGCAUAUCCCCGUUCUGGAUUAAACUUAGGUCCAUGGUUUUACUUCGACUCAAUAACAAUUCAAUUCUACGCGAAUUGGGGUUUGUGUUCGACGGGAUCGGGUUGGAGCCUGUGAUUCGGAUUCCCGACGCGGCGACGCGAGUACAUUUGUUGGCUACACCGAUCGGUGACCAUAGGUGAAGAGUAGGAUUUCGUAGCCUGACUAACCCUAGUUCACUCGAGUGACUGAGUGAGCAGAGACGUACCGGAACGUCCUCGCCGUAGCCGUCUGUCGGUCUGUGCACCCCCGCUCCCUGCCCCUGUGAAGCCUGCUUCCCUUGGCGCGACCGGUGACGCCUCCUCCCGAGGCGCGUGGCGCGGGCCCUCAGCCACCGCCCGUCGCCUCCUCCGACCAACCCCGCCGCCGCGCCGCGACCGCGAUGAAACUGCCAACGGCAGAGUUCCCGUGGG
rnacentral:lncRNA from 1 species